GACACUUUUUUCAUGCUAGAGAAUGAUUUUUUUUUUCACACAAAAAUAUGAUUUUUUUUAACAUACUAUACUAUGAAUUUUUUUUUCUGCAGGCUUAAAUUUUUUUUAAUUUUUUUUCACCCUCAAAUUGGAGACUUUUUACGUACUAUACCAUGACAGGGCGACAGAGUGGUGUAGUGGUUAGCACUGUCGCCUCACAGAUAGAAAGACCUGGGUUCAAAUCCCGCUCAGGACGUUUCUUUGUGCAGUAUGCAUGUUCUUCCUGUGUCUGCGUGGGUUUACUCCGGGUACUCCGGUUUCCUCCCACAUCCCAAAAACAUUCCUGAGUGCUGUUAGGUUAAGUGGACACUUUCAAAUGGCCCAUAGGUGUGAAUAAGAGCGUGAAUGGUUGAUCAUCUCUAUAUUUCAGCCCUGGCGACUUGUCCAUGGUGUCCCCUGCCUUCGUGAAGAUGCUGGGAAAGACUCACGUCCAGACCUUAAUUUUCAUGCUAAAAUUUGACUUUUUAACAUACUAUACUAUGGCAUUUUUUUGCAGGCUAAAAAAUGAUUUUUUUCUUUCACCCUAAAUUUGACAUUUUUAACAUACUAUACUAUAAUAUUCUUAUCAUACUAUACUAUGACCUUAAUUUUCAUGCCAAAUUUUGAAUUUUUUUUUUCCACACAAAAAUAUGACAUUUUUAACAUACUAUACUAUGGCAUUUUUUUGCAGGCUAAAAGGUGAUUUUUUUCUUUCACCCUAAAUUUGACAUUUUUAACAGACUAUACUAUAAUAUUCUUAUCAUACUAUACUAUGACCUUAAUUUUCAUGCCAAAUUUUGAAUUUUUUUUUUCCACACAAAAAUAUGAAAUUUUAACAUACUAUACUAUGGCAUUUUUUGGCAGGCUUAAAAAAUGAUUUUUUUCUUUCACCCUUAAUUUGACAUUUUUGUCAACCUAUACCAUCAUAUUUUUAUCAUACUAUACUAUGACCUUAAUUUUCAUGCCAAUUUUGAAUUUUUUUUUCCACACAAAAAUAUGAAAUUUUUAACAUACUAUACUAUGGCAUUUUUUUGCAGGCCAAAAGAAAGAUUUUUUUCUUUCACCCUUAAUGUGACAUUUAUAACCUACUAUACUAUAAUAUUCUUAUCAUACUAAACUAUGACCUUAAUUUUCAUGCUAAAUUUUAAAUUUUUUCUUCUACACAAAAAUAUGAAAUUUUUAACAUACUAUACUAAGGCAUUUUUUUGCAGGCCAAAAAAAAGAUUUUUUUCUUUCACCCUUAAUUUGACAUUUCUAACCUACUUUACUAUCAUAUUCUUAUCAUACUAAACUAUGACCUUAAUUUUCAUGCUAAAUUUUUAAUUUUUUUUCCACACAAAAAUAUGACAUUUUUAACAUACUAUACUAUGGCAUUUUUUUGCAGGCUAAAAGAUGAUUUUUUUUCUUUCACCCUAAAUUUGACAUUUUUAACAGACUAUACUAUAAUAUUCUUAUCAUACUAAACUAUGACCUUAAUUUUCAUGCUAAAUUUUUAAUUUUUUUCCACACAAAAAUAUGACAUUUUUAACAUACUAUACUAUGACAUUCUUUGCAGGCUAAAAAAUGAUUUCCUUUUUCACCCAAAAUUUGACAUUUUUGUCAACCUAUACCAUCAUAUUUUUAUCAUACUAUACUAUGACCUUAAUUUUCAUGCUUAAUUUUUAAUUUUUUCUUCUACACAAAAAUCUGAAAUUUUAACAUACUAUACUAUGGCCUUUUUUUGCAGGCCAAAAAAAAGAUUUUUUUCUUUCACCCUAAAUUUGACAUUUUUUACAGACUAUAAGAUCAUAUUCUUAUACUAUUCUAUGACCUUAAUUUUCAUGCUAAAUUUUUAAUUUUUUCUUCUACACAAAAAUAUGAAAUUUUUAACAUACUAUACUAUGGCCUUUUUUGCAGGCCAAAAGAAAGACUUUUUUCUUUCACCCUUAAAUUUGACAUUUAUAACCUACUACACUAUAAUAUUCUUAUCGUACUUAACUAUGACCUUAAUUUUCAUGCUAAAUUUUUAUUUUUUUCUUCUACACAAAAAUAUGAAAUUUUUUAACAUACUAUACUAUGGCAUUUUUUCGCAGGCUAAAAAAUGAUUUGUUUUCUUUCACCCUUAAUUUGACAUUCUUGUCAACCUAUACCAUCAUAUUCUUAUGAUACUAUACUAUGACCUUAAUUUUCAUGCUAAAUUUUUAAUUUUUUCUUCUACACAAAAAUAUGAAUUUUUUAACAUACUAUACUAUGGCAUUUUUUUGCAGGCCAAAAAAAAGAUUUUUUUCUCUCACCCUAAAUUUGACAUUUUUAACAGACUAUAAGAUCAUAUUCUUAUCAUACUAUUCUAUGACCUUAAUUUUCAUGCUAAAUUUUUAAUUUUUUCUUCUACACAAAAAUAUGAAAUUUUUAACAUACUAUACUAUGGCAUUUUUUUGCAGGCCAAAAGAAAGAUUUUUUUCUUUCACCCUUAAUUUGACAUUUUUAACAGACUAUAAGAUCAUAUUUUUAUCAUACUAUUCUAUGACCUUAAUUUUCAUGCUAAAUUUUAAAUUUUUUCUUCUACACAAAAAUAUGAAAUUUUUAACAUACUAUACUAUGGCCUUUUUUUGCAGGCCAAAAAAAAAUUUUUUUUCUUUCACCCUUAAUUUGACAUUUAUAACCUACUAUACUAUAAUAUUCUUAUCAUACUAAACCAUGACCUAAAUUUUCAUGCUAAAUUUUAAAUUUUUUCUUCUACACAAAAAUAUGAAAUUUUUAACAUACUAUACUAUGGCCUUUUUUUGCAGGCCAAAAAAAGAUUUUUUUCUUUCACCCUUAAUUUGACAUUUCUAACCUACUUUACUAUCAUAUUCUUAUCAAACUAAACUAUGACCUAAUUUUCAUGCUUAAUUUUGAAUUUUUUUUCCACACAAAAAUAUGACAUUUUUAACAUACUAUACUAUGGCAUUUUUUUGCAGGCUAAAAGAUGAUUUUUUUCUUUCACCCUAAAUUUGACAUUUUUAACACACUUUACUAUCAUAUUCUUAUCAUACUAUUCUAUGACCUUAAUUUUCAUGCUAAAUUUUUAAUUUUUUCUUCUACACAAAAAUAUGAAAUUUUUUAACAUACUAUACUAUGGCAUUUUUUUGCAGGCCAAAAAAAAGAUUUUUUUCUUUCACCCUUAAUUUGACAUCUCUAGCCUACUAUACUAUAAUAUUCUUAUCAUACUAAGCUAUGACCUUAAUUUUCAUGCUAAAUUUCUAAUUUUUUC